rnacentral:lncRNA from 10 species
GCAGCAUCUGACUUCCCUCAGAAAUGAAAAGAAGCCAUUAAAUCAGAAGCCAGAGGCAACAUGAUUUAUGGGGAUGGAAGAAUCAUUGUUUUAAACAUCUCAAAAUAGAAUUCUCUUUAUAACAGCAAGAUCAUGUUUCAUUUCUGAAUGCCUAGUGCCUAGCUCAGCAUCUGCUACACAGUAGGCACUCAAUAAACGUGUCUUGAAUGAAAGGACAGUCUUGUUAGCUUUUUCCAGGUCACACUAUAUAGCAUAACUUUGGAUAACCAAGUUGAUGUAAAAUCAACUUAAGGAUGUCUAUGAAUGAAUGGAACACAUCUGCAUUGGACCUGGUUCCUGUGUCUCCCCACAUUUACUCAGUCCCACUUAACCCCAGGGCCUAAGCUGCUAUCACCUCACUCCUAACACAGUGAUUCUUCAAGUACGGUAUCUGGACACUUUCCAACCUGACAUGAUCGUGAAAGUCCUUUUCCCAGGCGCCUGCAUACCACUUCCUGAUAAUUCUUAUGUGUUACUGUCAAAUAUCUCUCAGCUUACGUAGCCACAUGAAGUAUUUUUGUUCAACAUUUCUUAUUCAUGACUGUAUAAAAUUGAUGAAGGAGUAAUUUCAUUAGUAACAUAGAAAGAUAUCUGCAGGAAACAUAACUGUAAAGAGGAUUAUGGGCCUUUAGAAAGUGCACGUGCCAAGAAGAUCAAGGCCCAGAUUAAGACCAAAUGGCAUGGACAUAGUGAACUUUGUGUGUAUGAUCUGAUCAAUCUAUUUAAUAGAACUGGGAUCCCUAGGAAUGGAGACCAAGUAGUGGAAGAUCAGAAUGGCCUGGUGGAUGAUGCAGAGGCCUACUGAAGGCCACAGUGACUGACUUGGUGCUUGUGGAGCUCAAGAUGAGGAGGACGUUAAGAACAUCCAAGAAGAGACCAGUUGGGUAGAACUGACUGAGCAGAGGCCAAACGAGGAUUAACAGUUAGUUGAUGUUACCAUAAACCUCAUCAAAAUCCUUUGGUGAUACUUUGUUACUAAUUCCAGAGUUCUCGGACUUUAGGAAAUUACUUUUGUUAAAAAUUCCUGGUUUGUGCCACAGAGGUUCUUAUUAUCUAGAGUCAAGCACAGAAGUGUUAUCUUUAAUAGCCAAAGUGAUUUUUCCCACAUUUUCAGAAACACUGACAUUAAGGAUAAAGUCCAAAUUCCUGUUCAUAAAACUUAGCAUCUUCUAAGAUUUUUCAAGGCUGUUCAAGCAUUUCUUUAUGAAGUAAUUCUUAAUACCAUUGAGUGUGAUGAAUUUUUUUUGUGUGUACCAUUGCAUUUCACAGCAUCAUAGAGCUUUUAGAACAUAAGAACAGCUACUCAUUUACAUUUCUGUCAUUUUAUUCAAGAUAGUGAGCAAUUAAAAAAGGGACUGACACUUGCUUUUGAUUUCCCAGGGCUUAGCACAGUGCUUAGUAUAGAACAAGCUCUAAAAAAAUUAGUUCUACUGUAUCUAUAAAUAAAACCAAGUGAAAGUUUUUCUUAUCUCUGUAAAAGAACAGAUAUUGCUAACAUGUUAAAAAUUAUCACAAAAUUACAUUGUACCAUAUUGUUUUUCUUCCUUGUGAUGUCAUUGUCUGACUUCAGUAUCCAAGUAGUGGUCACCUCAUCAAUUGAAUUGGGAAAUGUUCCUCUGGCUUCUAUUUUCUGAAAGAGAGAGAGAGAGAGAGAGAGAGUGUGUGUGUGUGUGUGUGUGUGUGUGUGUGCGUGUGUAUGUGGGUUUUGAUUGGUAUUACUUUUUGCUUAAAUGUUUGUUUGAUAGAAUUUAUCAGAGAAGUCAUCUGGGCUUUGAUUUUUCUUUGUGGGAAGAUUUUAAAUUACAAUUUCUUUACUUUAUAUAGGUCUAUUCAGAUUUUCUAUGUAUUCCUAACUCAGUUUUGGUAAUUUGUGUCUUUCUAGAAAUUUGUCUAUUUCAUGUAAUCUAUUUGGUAUAAAGUUUUUUGUAACAUUGUCUUAUAAAUAUUUUGAUAGCUCUGUGUUCUAUAGUGAA